GUUUAAUCUGCCCACUGAAUUUAUUUAAAGGGCUGCAGUAUAUUGACUGUACAAAGGUAGCAUAAUAAAUAGUCUUUUAAUUGAAGACUUGUAUGAAUGAUUUAAUGAAAUAUAAACUGUCUCAUUAUUAUAAAUAGAAAUUAAUUUUUUAGUUAAAAAGCUAAAAUAAAUAUAAAAGACGAGAAGACCCUAUAGAGUUUUAUAGUUUUUUAUAUGUUAAUUUUAUAUAAAAUUUGAAAUUAAUAUAUAGUAAAUUAUUUUGUUGGGGUGAUAGAAAAAUUAAAAAAACUUUUUUUUAAAAAUUAACAUUAAUAUAUGAAUAUUUGAUCCAUAAUUUAUGAUUAAAAGAGUAAAUUACCUUAGGGAUAACAGCGUAAUUUUUUUUUUUAGUUCAAAUAAAAAAAAAAGUUUGCGACCUCGAUGUUGGAUUAAGAUAAAAUAUAAAUGCAAAAGUUUAAAAUUU
rnacentral:rRNA from 1 species